rnacentral:lncRNA from 1 species
ACUGAGCAACCUGAGGUGAUUGCAACAAAUCCACCAAUAACUCCAUUGCACACAUCCAUUGCAUCCCAGUGUCCCACCAACAACCUUCGACCGAACAAGGUAACAAUCCCUGCUGUGGAACCAGCCAGGGUCGUUGUGACCGCGGUCCUGCCCACGGAGGUCCAGUUACCUUGAUCGACCAUAUGCGGGUAAGGUACAAGAAUCUUGUCGAACGAUCCAGGAUUAAACCCAAACCAUCCAAACCACAACAAAAACGUUCCAAGCACCACUAGUGUAGCAUUGUGGCCUCUCAUUUUCACAGGGUUACCAAAUGCAUCAAAUCUUCCCACUCUUGGACCUUCAAUAAUCG